rnacentral:rRNA from 1 species
AUACGGAGGGGGCAAGCGUUGUUCGGAAUUACUGGGCGUAGAGGGCGCGCAGGCGGUUUUGUUAGUCAGGCGUGAAAUCCCCGGGCUCAACCCGGGAACUGCGUUUGAUACUGCGGAACUAGAGUUCGGGAGAGGGUAGUGGAAUUCCCAGUGUAGAGGUGAAAUUCGUAGAUAUUGGGAAGAACACCAGUGGCGAAGGCGGCUACCUGGACCGAUACUGACGCUGAGGCGCGAAAGCGUGGGGAGCAAACAGGAUUAGAAACCCCGGUAGUCC